AGUGAACGCUGGCGGUAGGCCUAACACAUGCAAGUCGAACGGCAGCACAGUAAGAGCUUGCUCUUACGGGUGGCGAGUGGCGGACGGGUGAGGAAUACAUCGGAAUCUACUUUUUCGGGGGGGAUAACGUAGGGAAACUUACGCUAAUACCGCAUACGACCUACGGGUGAAAGCAGGGGAUCUUCGGACCUUGCGCGAUUGAAUGAGCCGAUGUCGGAUUAGCUAGUUGGCGGGGUAAAGGCCCACCAAGGCGACGAUCCGUAGCUGGUCUGAGAGGAUGAUCACCCACACUGGAACUGAGACACGGUCCAGACUCCUACGGGAGGCAGCAGUGGGGAAUAUUGGACAAUGGGCGCAAGCCUGAUCCAGCCAUACCGCGUGGGUGAAGAAGGCCUUCGGGUUGUAAAGCCCUUUUGUUGGGAAAGAAAAGCAGCAGGUUAAUACCCCGCUGUUCUGACGGUACCCAAAGAAUAAGCAGCGGCUAACUUCGUG
rnacentral:rRNA from 1 species